rnacentral:rRNA from 1 species
CAGUGAUGAUGGCAAAGAGGCCACACCCGUUCCCAUCCCGAACACGGAAGUUAAGCUCUUUUGCGCCGAUGGUAGUUGGGGGUUUCCCCCUGUGAGAGUAGGACGUCGCUGGGCC